rnacentral:rRNA from 1 species
GUGUCAGCAGCCGCGGUAAGACGAACCGUGCAAACGUUGUUCGGAAUCACUGGGCUUAAAGGGCGCGUAGGCGGUGUGUUAAGUCGGCGGUGAAAUACUCCGGCUCAACCGGAGAAUUGCCGCUGAAACUGGCAUGCUGGAGGGAGGUAGAGGUGCAUGGAACUUCCGGUGGAGCGGUGAAAUGCGUUGAUAUCGGAAGGAACGCCUGUGGCGAAAGCGAUGCACUGGACCUCAUCUGACGCUGAGGCGCGAAAGCUAGGGUAGCGAACGGGAUUAGAUACCCGGGUAGUCC